UCGAGCGGAAGAAGGGAGCUUGCUCCCGGAUUCAGCGGCGGACGGGUGAGUAACACCUGGGAAUCUGCCUGGUAGUGGGGGAUAACGUCCGGAAACGGGCGCUAAUACCGCGUACGUCCUACGGGAGAAAGCAGGGGAUCUUCGGACCUUGCGCUAUCAGAUGAGCCCAGGUCGGAUUAGCUAGUAGGUGAGGUAAUGGCUCACCUAGGCGACGAUCCGUAACUGGUCUGAGAGGAUGAUCAGUCACACUGGAACUGAGACACGGUCCAGACUCCUACGGGAGGCAGCAGUGGGGAAUAUUGGACAAUGGGGGCAACCCUGAUCCAGCCAUGCCGCGUGUGUGAAGAAGGUCUUCGGAUUGUAAAGCACUUUAAGUUGGGAGGAAGGGCUUUAGGUUAAUACCCUGAAGUUUUGACGUUACCAACAGAAUAAGCACCGGCUAACUCUGUGCCAGCAGCCGCGGUAAUACAGAGGGUGCAAGCGUUAAUCGGAAUUACUGGGCGUAAAGCGCGCGUAGGUGGUUCAGUAAGAUGGGUGUGAAAUCCCCGGGCUUAACCUGGGAACUGCUUUCAUAACUGCUGAGCUAGAGUACGGUAGAGGGUAGUGGAAUUUCCUGUGUAGCGGUGAAAUGCGUAGAUAUAGGAAGGAACACCAGUGGCGAAGGCGACUACCUGGACUGAUACUGACACUGAGGUGCG
rnacentral:rRNA from 1 species